rnacentral:rRNA from 1 species
GCAUAUGAAAACCUAUACAACUUUCAGCAACGGAUCUCUUGGCUCUCGCAUCGAUGAAGAACGCAGCGAAAUGCGAUAAGUAAUGUGAAUUGCAGAAUUCAGUGAAUCAUCGAAUCUUUGAACGCACCUUGCGCUCCUUGGUAUUCCGAGGAGCAUGCCUGUUUGAGUGUCAUUA